CGCGGGGUGGAGCAGCCUGGUAGCUCGUCGGGCUCAUAACCCGAAGGUCGCGGGUUCAAAUCCCGCCCCCGCUACCA
rnacentral:tRNA from 2 species